rnacentral:rRNA from 1 species
GAUGAACGCUGGCGGCGUGCCUAAUACAUGCAAGUCGAGCGAACGGACGAGAAGCUUGCUUCCCUGAUGUUAGCGGCGGACGGGUGAGUAACACGUGGAUAACCUACCUAUAAGACUGGGAUAACUUCGGGAAACCGGAGCUAAUACCGGAUGAUAUUUUGAACCGCAUGGUUCAAAAGUGAAAGACGGUCUUGCUGUCACUUGUAGAUGGAUCCGCGCUGCAUUAGCUAGUUGGUAAGGUAACGGCUUACCAAGGCAACGAUGCAUAUCCGACCUGAGAGGGUGAUCGGCCACACUGGAACUGAGACACGGUCCAGACUCCUACGGGAGGCAGCAGUAGGGAAUCUUCCGCAAUGGGCGAAAGCCUGACGGAGCAACGCCGCGUGAGUGAUGAAGGUCUUCGGAUCGUAAAACUCUGUUAUUAGGGAAGAACAUAUGUGUAAGUAACUGUGCACAUCUUGACGGUACCUAAUCAGAAAGCCACGGCUAACUACGUG